AGGAGGAAAAGGCGGGAGAGGAGGAAGUGAAAGAGGAAAAGGCUAGAGAGGAAAUGGAAAAGGAAAAGGUGGGAGCGGAGGAAGUAGAGGAGAAAGAGAUUGUAGAGGAGGAACAAGCUGAGAACACAGCAAGACCAUUGGACAUAGAGGCGAUGCCGGCCCGACCAACUGAGGAGACCACCCAGACAAGACGCGGUUGGUGGACACCAAAUUGCCUGAGAAGACAAAACAAGAGCAGCAGGUAAGUAAUAAUUUACCUUCAGUCUACCUGUAACUGCCACUUGAAGGAGCUCACUGCAUAGGGGUUUACA